UGGGGAAUUUUGGACAAUGGGGGAAACCCUGAUCCAGCCAUCCCGCGUGUGCGAUGAAGGCCUUCGGGUUGUAAAGCACUUUUGGCAGGAAAGAAACGUCAUGGGUUAAUACCCCGUGAAACUGACGGUACCUGCAGAAUAAGCACCGGCUAACUACGUGCCAGCAGCCGCGGUAAUACGUAGGGCGCAAGCGUUAAUCGGAAUUACUGGGCGUAAAGCGUGCGCAGGCGGUUCGGAAAGAAAGAUGUGAAAUCCCAGAGCUCAACUUUGGAACUGCAUUUUUAACUACCUGGCUAGAGUGUGUCAGAGGGAGGUGGAAUUCCGCGUGUAGCAGUGAACUGCGUAGAUAUGCGGAGGAACACCGAUGGCGAAGGCAGCCUCCUGGGAUAACACUGACGCUCAUGCACGAAAGCGUGGGGAGCAAACAGG
rnacentral:rRNA from 1 species